UAUCAAUAAGCGGAGGAAAAGAAACCAACAGGGAUUGCCCUAGUAACGGCGAGUGAAGCGGCAACAGCUCAAAUUUGAAAUCUGGCGCAAGCCCGAGUUGUAAUUUGUAGAGGAUGCUUCUGGGCAGCGGCCGUUCUAAGUCUCUUGGAACAGGGCGUCAUAGAGGGUGAGAAUCCCGUAUGUGACCGGCGCGCACCCUCCACGUAGCUCCUUCGACGAGUCGAGUUGUUUGGGAAUGCAGCUCUAAAUGGGAGGUAAAUUUCUUCUAAAGCUAAAUACCGGCCAGAGACCGAUAGCGCACAAGUAGAGUGAUCGAAAGAUGAAAAGCACUUUGGAAAGAGAGUUAAAAAGCACGUGAAAUUGUUGAAAGGGAAGCGCUUGCAACCAGACUUCGCGGCGGUGUUCCGCCGGUCUUCUGACCGGUCCACUCGCCGCCGCGAGGCCAACAUCGUCUGGGGCCGCCGGAUAAGACCAUGGGAAUGUGGCUCCCUCGGGAGUGUUAUAGCCCACGGUGAUGCGGCGCGCCUCGGGCGAGGUCCGCGCUUCGGCAAGGAUGUUGGCGUAAUGGUUGCCAGCGGCCCGUCUUGAAACACGGACCAAGGAGUCUAACAUCUAUGCGAGUGUUCGGGUGUCAAACCCCUACGCGUAAUGAAAGUGAACGGAGGUGGGAGCUUCGGCGCACCAUCGACCGAUCCUGAUGUCCUCGGAUGGAUUUGAGUAAGAGCAUAGCUGUUGGGACCCGAAAGAUGGUGAACUAUGCCUGAAUAGGGUGAAGCCAGAGGAAACUCUGGUGGAGGCUCGCAGCGGUUCUGACGUGCAAAUCGAUCGUCAAAUUUGGGUAUAGGGGCGAAAGACUAAUCGAACCAUCUAGUAGCUGGUUCCUGC
rnacentral:rRNA from 1 species